GACGUAGGGCGCGAGCGUUGUCCGGAUUUAUUGGGCGUAAAGAGCUCGUAGGCGGCUUGUCGCGUCGACAUGUGAAACCCGGCGGCUACCAACUGUGGGCGGCAGCUGAUGACGGGCAGGCUGGAGUUCGGUAGGGGAGACUGGAAUUCCUGGUGUAGCGGUGAAAUGCGCAGAUAUCAGGAGGAACACCAAUGGCGAAGGCAGCUCGCUGGGACGUGACUGACGCUGAGACGCGAAGCGUGGGGAGCAAACAGG
rnacentral:rRNA from 1 species